AUUUAUGGCGGGCCGUGUGAGGCAGGCUUCGGCCUGGCCGGCGUCCUUCGUGGGUCGGUCUACCACCCUUGCACGGUCCGCCUCCAUA
rfam:Tilletia controversa strain DAOM 236426 scaffold_3110, whole genome shotgun sequence.